AUUGAACGCUGGCGGCAGGCUUAACACAUGCAAGUCGAGCGGAGACUUCGGUCUUAGCGGCGAACGGGUGAGUAAUACCUAGGAAUCUGCCCAUUAGCGGGGGGACAACGUUUCGAAAGGAACGCUAAUACCGCAUACGCCCUACGGGGGAAAGCAGGGGAUCUUUUGACCUUGCACUAAUGGAUGAGCCUAGGCCGGAUUAGCUAGUUGGUAGGGUAAAGGCCUACCAAGGCGACGAUCUGUAGCUGGUCUGAGAGGAUGACCAGCCACACUGGAACUGAGACACGGUCCAGACUCCUACGGGAGGCAGCAGUGGGGAAUAUUGGACAAUGGGCGCAAGCCUGAUCCAGCCAUGCCGCGUGUGUGAAGAAGGCC
rnacentral:rRNA from 1 species